rnacentral:lncRNA from 1 species
AUGAUAUAGUAAGUCAAAGGAGAACGCCAGAUUGAAAAAAGUGCAUCUGCCUCUAAUUUGUGGUGUGAUCCGACACAGUCUGGCUUAGCCUGUUUGGUCUGCUUGAUUGUCCGCAGCUACAGAAACUACCGUGUUGAUACAUACAAAGAAAGGCUCUUUUAAAAGCCCAGAGUAUGUCAUGCUGAGCAUCAUCCUUGAAAACAGCAAGAUCGACUAGAGGGAGAAGAAAUGUGGCUAAAAGAUGGAAAGGAUCGAGUCCUGAUGUUUGUCCCUGUUUCUGUUGAAGUCAUUCUGUGACCUAAAAUCAUUUCUGAUCACUAGGUUUCACAAUUAUUGACAGAGAAUACCUACUGUACUCUGUUCAAUUACUUUAUCUGUUAAAAUUUCACAUCAGUAAUAACCCUAACUUUUACAAAUUCUAAGCAAGAUCUUUGAAAUCUUCCCAUUUGAGUUCAGGCACAUCACUAUAGGCUGGUUUUGGGAGAUAGCAAAAAAAGAGAAAGAAUGAGCUAUUCCAUUCCCAGGAGUACUGUGUACUGGGUCGGAAUGGGGAAUUGUAUCACUGUAUGCUGAACUUUUGGAAUGCCCACAGCAUAAAUUCUGACAAUGUCAGUGUAUUUGAAUGAACACAAAUUUCAAAGUUGAGUAGUUUGUUGGAUGUGGUGGUCUCUCAGCAUUCUACUUUCCCAUUAUUUUAUACCUCUUGUUCAUUUAAUUGGGAAUUAACUGUGGUUUAAAUCUAUGAAAAAUAUCUUGGGCAUAUGGAGAAAGAACAAAUGUCCAAAGUUGCCUUUUUAAAAGUGUUUCAUUUUUUUAAAUUGACAAAUAAAGUUAUAUAUAUCUAUCAUGUACAACAUGAUGUUUCAAAAUGUAUAUACAUAGUAGAAUUCCUAACCCAAGCUAAUUAACAUGUGCAUUACCUUACAGAGAUUUUAAGUGUUCUCACCACAAAAAAAAACUAUAUAAGGUUAUGCAAAGUUGACUUUUAUCUUAACUAUUUACAAUGUAUAUAAAAGUAUGACAGUAUAUGUACAAGUCUUAAAGUCCUAAAUAUCCUUUUAAAAAAUGCAAAGAUUCCAUAUAAUUCCUGAGCUUUCCUCAUGUAUAUUGCUAUACAACUUCAGGAAAAAUGUCAUACCAACUAUUUCUGUAUCUAAACAGAUUUCCCAACAAAAAGAAAAAAGAGCAAGUUGUCUCAGGAACAAUGGUAGGACAUAAGUUAUCUGACUGUAUCACUUGGGAUUGAAAAUUAAAGGCCUGUUUCCAUAAUGGAACUAUUUUGAGGAAUUGACAUUACUGCCGUAACAACAAAUAAUUCACAGGUAUCUUUAACUGACUCUAAAGCCUCUAGAUACUGAAUUAGAUGAUGUACACUUCCAAUAAAAGAGAAUAGGCUGCAUCUUGCUGCUUCAGCUAAUUGUGGAUUUUUAUUUCAUGUUUUAUUAGAGGGAGUAUCAUAAUCCUUUCUUUCCAUCCAUUCCAUAAUCCAUCCUUUCCAUGUUGGGUCAAAUUUUCUUAUCCUAACCUGAAAUACUGCUUUUGUUUCACACUCUGCCCAGG